AUCCUAAAAACACGGAAUCUAUGAAUUCUCCAAUAUUCAAAUAUCGCGCAAAAUUGUAUUCAAGCAUGCGCAAUGAAACUGCUCAACUCAAAGAAAAUACCAACGACCAACGGUAACCUCGCAUUUUUAAAGCUGUGAGUGGAAUCGUGGAUGUGAAUAUGUGAUGUGAUCGUCUUGCAAUUUUUGUUAUCUCUAUCCGUUGAAUGAUUGAAUGAAAGGUGCAGUGUGGAACAUCAAGUCUACUUCCAGUGCCCCAAAUGAAGAAAUCCAUAUAAUAAUCCAAAAUUGGUUUUGACUCUCCAAAGACCAUGAUGGAGGUCGAGAAAAACGGAGAAAUGAUCCAGCACCCAAUCACAUGUAACUAGGCCAAGUGCCAAUAAGUAAAUUUUUAGAGAAUCUCAAACAUCCAUAAUCUUUUUUGUAAUAAUUUUACAAUAUACAGACUUUUCAUGCAUUUAA